rnacentral:rRNA from 1 species
CAGCACCUCAAGUGGUCAGGAGGAUUAUUGGGCCUAAAGCAUCCGUAGCCGGCUCUGUAAGUUUUCGGUUAAAUCCAUGUGCUCAACGCAUGGGCUGCCGAAAAUACUGCAUAGCUAGGGAGUGGGAGAGGUAGACGGUACUCAGUAGGAAGGGGUAAAAUCCUUUGAUCUAUUGAUGACCACCUGUGGCGAAGGCGGUCUACCAGAACACGUUCGACGGUGAGGGAUGAA